rnacentral:rRNA from 1 species
CGGGUGAGUAACGCGUGGGUAACCUGCCUCAUACAGGGGAUAACAGUUAGAAAUGACUGCUAAUACCGCAUAAGCGCACAGUGCCGCAUGGCACAGUGUGAAAAACUCCGGUGGUAUGAGAUGGACCCGCGUCUGAUUAGCUAGUUGGUGGGGUAACGGCCUACCAAGGCGACGAUCAGUAGCCGGCCUGAGAGGGUGAACGGCCACAUUGGGACUGAGACACGGCCCAA